GGCAGCGUGGCCGAGUGGCUUAGGCGCUGGUUUUGUAAUCUGGUGGUCCCGGGUUCAAGCCCUUCCACCCUGCCA